AACAUGUCUUAUUGAAAAUAAUUUUAAGUYUGAUCUGCUCCAUGAAAUUUUAAAUAGCUGCAGAAUUUUAACUGUACAAAGGUAGCAUAAUCAAUAGUUUUUUAAUUAUAAACUGGAAUGAAUGAUUUGAUAAAGUAAAUAUUGUCUCAAUUUUAUUGGUGUUAUAAUUUUUUUUUUAGUUAAAAAGCUAAAAAAAAUUUAAAAGACAAGAAGACCCUAUAGAAUUUUAUAAUUAUUUAAAAAAUAAAUAUAAAUUAUAAUAUAGUAUUAUUUAUUUAAUUAUUAGGUUGGGGAAAUUAUUAAAUUAAAAUAAUUUUAAUUAAUAAAUAACUAAAAUUAUAGAAUUUUUGAUCUUACUUAUUUAAAUUAAAAGAAUAAAUUACCUUAGGGAUAACAGCGUAAUUUUUUUAAAGAGUUCUUAUCAAUAAAAAAGUUUGCGACCUCGAUGUUGAAUUAAGAUUAAUUAUUAAUGAAGAAAUUAAUAACAUUUGGUCUGUUCGACCAUUAAAAUCUUACAUGAUCUGAGUUCAAACCGGAG
rnacentral:rRNA from 1 species